rnacentral:tRNA from 1 species
GCCGAAGUGGUGGAAUUGGUAGACACGCCAGAUUUAGGUUCUGGUGCCUGCGGGUGUGAGGGUUCGAGUCCCUUCUUCGGUA